GGACUCGUAGCUCAGUUGGUAGAGCGCUCGGUUUACAUCCGAUAGGUCACAGGUUCGAGUCCUGUCGAGUCCACAA
rnacentral:tRNA from 1 species